GAUGAAGAAACGCAGCGAAAUGCGAUAAGUAAUGUGAAUUGCAGAAUUCAGUGAAUCAUCGAAUCUUUGAACGCACAUUGCGCCCGCCAGUAUUCUGGCGGGCAUGCCUGUUCGAGCGUCAUUUCAACCAUCAAGCCCCCGGCUUGUGUUGGGGACCUGCGGCUGCCGCAGGCCCUGAAAAGCAGUGGCGGGCUCGCUGUCACACCGAGCGUAGUAGCAUACAUCUCGCUCUGGGCGUGCUGCGGGUUCCGGCCGUUAAACCACCUUCAUAACCCAAGGUUGACCUCGGAUCAGGUAGGAAGACCCGCUGAACUUAAGCAUAUCAAUAAGCGGAGGA
rnacentral:misc_RNA from 1 species